GAAAGGAGUCGGGACUCCACCCUGUCCCGACCUGCCCUGUCCUGCCAUUUAUUAUUUUAAUUACAUUUAAAUUUUGAGUUAAAUGUAAUUAAAAUAGUUAAUUAGUUUAAAGUCGUUAAUUUCAUCUCAAACAUUGCUGAUAUAAGAGUAAUUCAAAUUAAUCCAUUAUAAAAUAUGAAAUAAAGUGCUGAUUAACCAAAGUGGUGAAACCGCAAAAACGUGUGGUCGAUGUCGUCGGCGAAAAAGAGAGGUACAACGGUGGACCAAGCUUCUGAAAUCAACUGCGGCCCUCACAAUUCGAGACGUUCAUAUUCGCCACUUACUUGCAAAUUGUAAUUGGGCAAACGGAUUUCAGAAAAGCAGACUAAAGGCAGCUCAGCGAAGGAUGUCGCUAAACAACUUAAAAGACAACACAUGGUCAUGCGAGGACA